AUAGAAGCUGAGAGGCGGGUGUGGCAUAUAGAGUAACAGCUAGGCCCUGGUCCGGGAGUGACUAAGGUUAAGUCGAUGCGACUUGACAGACUGAGGGGUCGUGCCUAAGGUUCGGAGAUUGGAUCUGCGCAGAGGAGUUUCUAUCCAUAAAUAUUCCAAAUGGAUCCUGGUGGUCAGGACCUGCUAGCUUUGGAUCCUGGUGAUCAGGACCUGCUAGCUUUGGAUCCUGGUGAUCAGGACCUGCUGGGCUUCCUGCUAGAGGAAAGUGGAGAUUUGUGGGCUGCGACUGAGCAGGACAUAGAGACUCCCCUGGACUUGGAGCUGUCGCCUUCCGAGAACUCCGUGCAAGAAUUGAGCGACUGGGAGGUAGAGGAUUUACUGAGCUCUCUGCUCAGUCCCUCGUCAUCGCCGGAUGUUCUCAACUCUUCUAGUUCUUCUAUUCUCCAUGAUCACAACUAUUCCCUUCCACAGGAGCACGUCUCCAUAGAUCUAGAUCCUGGGAGCUUUGAAAAGGAGGGGUUCCGCAUGAAUCCAUUGCGUGUGGAGGAGACAGCAGCAGAGCAGGAACUUUCUACACUGAUACUGACGGAGGAAGAGAAAAGGCUUUUGGAGUGUGCCCGCUGAGUAUGUUGUGUUGCACCGCAAGCUUCGUGCCCUGCCCAGCGAGGACCAGCAUCAGCCGAAGCUGUCUGCCCUACAGCCAGAGCUACCAAUGGGCAGCACAAACCAGUUGGAGAGCUCAGAACAUACAUUCCUGGCCCCCAGCAAUGUUUCCUGCCUGAACCACAUGGCUCAAACAGAGCAACCCCCGCACUGGCCACUCCUUGAUCUUUCUUCAGAGAUGCCCUUCUCAGGCUCCGACCUUCUCCUGCAAGCAAAUCUUACAGAAAGUGGAGGAUGGCUCUCUACCCACAGCCCUUCUUCGAUCAUCUUACAGGGCAGGUAUUCAGGUUAGGUGUGAGGAUAUGGGGUGUCCUCAGCCCAAGGACUCCUGUCUGUAUUCACAUAAAAAGGAGUAGGGGAGAGCCAGCCUUUGCUCACGGGCCUGUUAGGAUGCCCAGGAACUCACCACACUAACUAGUUGUAUGAGCAUUUUAUUUAUACCCAUGUGUAUCUGUUGUCCCAUGAAUAGAUUUGGAGAAAUUUACUGGCCUUGAAUACUUCAUCCACAGAAGGAAUGGGAAGGAUAAG
rnacentral:lncRNA from 1 species